AAAAAAAAAACCCAUUUUGCGUGUACUGAUGAUCCGAUCAGAUAACAGAAGCCAGAGCAACACAAUGUUUUGUAUUGUCAGAGCAGGAUGUUUUUAGGGUUCAGAAAAAUUCCCAAUUUGCAUGUACGAGUUGAGUAGGUUUACCGCCUCCGUCGGCUCCAAGUGCGACGGGGCAGAGGCCGGCGCAGACGACGGCGGCGGACCCGCCCGACGAGCCGCCGGCCACCUUGCCGGUGUUGUACGGAUUCCUCGUCGAUCUGAAACCAUCAAACCAGGUAAGAAACCCAUUGGUAAAAGGGUAAAAAAAUUGUGAUUUGGAGACCGCGCGGAUGAUGAACAGGACGACGACAAGUGAUGCGUACCCAUGGUGCGGGUUGAUGCCGCUGGUGCCGGCGCCGAGCUCGUGCAUGUUGGUCUUGCCGGCGAGCACCGCGCCGCACGCCCGCAGCUGCGCCACCACCGCCGCGUCCUGCACGCACGGCCGCAUCCUCUGCAGCCAUCUCGUUCCUCCUGUUCAUAUGCGUCUUUGAUCAGUUUCAGGGUACAGUACAACCAAUCAGACAUAACAUUUCCACCCCUAAAUAUAAAACUAGUAUAUAUGAUUUAGGGCCUACCCUAGUAUCGUAUUGGUCUCACUUUAAACCAUACCAUUUUGGGGUAAAAUUGACAGACAUGUGGAUGAAUUUAGUCUGUUAUCAAAUAUUGGUAAUGUGUAAAAAAUUGACAGCACAUUUAGCCUAUCAUACCAAAACUCGGCAAUGUUGCCAACCUAUCAAAUUUUGGUAUUGCCAAAUUUUGGAAAUAUUCAUUUUGACAGUAAUCUGAACUGGUCUUUAUUUAUCAUGUUUGCUAUGUCGACAUAGAUUUGGUCCUGACAUUAGUUAGAAUCUUCAGAUUCAUACACUCUCUUUCUUCAGAAAAAAUGUUUUUAAUUUGCAAACAGUAUUUCAUAGCAUGGCCAAUGCAAUAAUUUAUUUUGUCCCCUACAAAAAAACGAGUUAGUACAGCCUACUGUAGCUAAUUUAAAAAAUAAAAGCACCGAUUUCUCUCUUUUUGCAACAAAUCGGAUCACGUCUUCUGUUGAUGAACAGUAUCAAUCCAAAACACACAUGCCAAUUGUCAGCACUCAUUUUGCAAGAAGCAAACGAUCGACGGACAGUGUGUACGGCGAUGAACAGUGUCAUCAGAAUCAUCCGACCGUACCGGGGCCUCCUCUCCAUGGCGGCAGCAGCUCUACCUACCGUCCUGCAGCUGAUUAAAUCCUGAUUCCGAUUGCUUUUUACCUCCUGUUCUUAUAUAUGAUUCGACAACCUUAGCACCGUUGAUGAUACCUGAUCUUGUGAUGUUCUUACCUGUUGUUGGGUAUGGCAGGCAGUCGAUCUCGUCUUUGACGGCCACCAGGACGCCAUCCAUGGCAGAGAGAGGAGCUCCUGCAGUUAAUUAGCAUCAAGAACAGUCAAACACUUGACAUAAUCCAAGAACAAUUAACAGUUAACAGAAGCCAAGAAAUGAAAUGGUGCAUGCAAUCGAUCAGGUAAAAGCUGCAUGAAUGCAAAGAGUAAACGAUGAGAUACUGCAACAACAGAUGCAUCAGCACAACGAGAUGCCUUCAAUUGCAACAGAUCAGCAGGCCAGGCCCUGCAAGGAAUGUAGUAUUGGCCUCUGCGUGCAACCACAUGCAGUGGCAACUAACCGUCCCUAUGAGCUAUCAAUGCUGGAUCAGGACCAUGCAAUGCUUUCAGAUUCGAUCAAGCAAGCAAAGAGCUAGUCUAGUCAAUGCAUGAUCAUUAGGGGAUGAUGCCGAUGCCAUUUCUAUGGAAUCUUUCAUCAGAAAGCCCCUUCUGUUCGAAGUCUGAACAUUUUGCUCCAUGUCAGAUUAGUCCGAGCCCUGAAUCUGCUGCAAGCUGCGUGUUGUUUCAUUGUGGAAACAUCUCUUUCAGAGACCAGUCCGUGCAUUGGCAGGCUCUGACAAUGCCUUCCUGUAAAGCAUCUGCUGAUACUGUUCAUCCAGCUGGUCAGUUCCAGACUGCAAUGGCAGUAAUAGUAGUACUUCUUCACCAGUACUACAAGUAAAAACUCAUGGCCGGAAGCAUGCAAGUUGGUAGUAGCAUACAGAAGUAAACAUGGUGGUUAUGACAGUUUAAUUUCUGCAGAUUCUCUGAACCUAAAUGUCAAUGGUGAUGAAGGCUAGACACUGAGGCACUUGCUGAGUACUGCUAGUAUGAUAUAAUUACUGUUUAAUGCUCGAAUGAUUCAUUGAUUUUGAUUUGUUGAUACGGUUCUUUGGCAUAAUGUACACUGAAAAUGUAGUUAAUUUUGUUUACCUUGCUGGUAUCUGAGGGUGGAUGCCUCGGCCUGUCUGAUGACGUCCUGAGGAUUGCAGCUGAUGAACAAGGCCAUGUUCAGAUCAGGGCCUGAACACUCCUUCACUGCAGCGAGAAAUCUCCUCGCAACCUGCCAGCAAUGCAGUACAAGCUAAUUGGGUAGCAUUCAUGAACAAGAAUACCUCUAACCUACUAAAAUUCAGAGUGAUCUCUCCUGAGAUGUAGGCACUGGUGAAGUCCCGGAUUGUCCAGCGCCUGAACCCCGGCGAUGGCGGGUCAGCGAGCACCGAUUCGAGGCGAGCCGGGAGGCAGACGACGGCCUCCUGAACGCGCUCUGCCGGCGACAUGUCUGGCUUCGUCAGGCUCACAUUCUGCUCAGGGAUGUCUGCAAUGAAGCAACAGCAGCAGGAGCAGCAGUAUUUUCAGAAGAAGUGAUGAUCAUCUACCUUGUUGACAAGAUUGUCUCUCUUGAGGAUGUAGAGCACGAUUGAGCCGAUGAUCGGCGCCUCAAGAACCCAUGCGAAUAUCUUCACCAGAAGCCCAGCAACCCGUGGAGCUGAAGAAAGCAAUAAAACAAAAAUGAUCAGACAUAAGCAUACAAAUCACUUCCAAGAACUGAAAUUCUGAAUUCUGAAUGCAAAAGCUCUUUGACAUGAAAAUGGACAGAAAAUUCAGCAAGAGCUUGUAACCUUUGACGUUGGGGCUGAUGUAGAACUCGUUGCUGUCGGCGCCGAGAUUGACCUCCGACGCCGGCUUGUACACCUUGGGAGCCGAGCUGAAGACACCCAUGGAUGGAAGCUGAUGAGCUGAGCUGAGCUCAAGAAGAACAAAGACCUUUGCUUGCUCAACAAUGGGAGACGAUUCGAGUGUGCGAUAGAGUGCAACCAUGCCACAGCUUAUGUAGUACUCCAUGUCGCAGUUUUGGACGGUAGUGUGGAGGUGGUUGCAUCUUACAGAGGUAAAUUCAAUCGUACGGAACCUACAGUUAC